AGAGUUUGAUCCUAGCUCAGGAUGAACGCUGGCGGCGUGGAUAAGGCAUGCAAGUCGAACGGACUUCAUUUUUCCAGAGAUGCGAUUAUAUCAAGUCAAAGGUCGUUUGAAGUUAGUGGCGAACGAGGUAGUAAUACAUAGGAACUUCCCUCAAAGUCGUGAAUAAUUCGUCGAAAGACGGACUAAUACACGAUAGUCCCUCAGGGGUAAAGUUUUAACGCUUUGAGAAAGGCCUAUGCGAUAUCAGCUAGUUGGUAGUGUAAUGGACUACCAAGGCUAUGACGUCUAGGGGAGGUGAGAGCCUGACCCCCACCGAUGGUACUGAGACACGGACCAUACACCUACGGGUGGCUGCAGUCGAGAAUCUUCCACAAUGGACGAAAGUCUGAUGGAGCGACGCCGCGUGAUUGAUGAAGUCCCUUUGGGACGUAAAGAUCUUUUAUGAGGGAAGAAGUUUAUUGACUGUACCUCAUGAAUAAGAGGCUCCUAAUCUCGUGCCAGCAGGAGCGGUAAUACGAGAGCCUCGAGCGUUAUCCGGAAUUAUUGGGCGUAAAGGGUGUGUAGGUGGUUUUGUUAGUCUUUUGUUAAAGUCCCGAGCUUAACUUGGGGAGGGCGAAAGAUACGGCAAAACUAGAAAGUGCGAGAGGUGUACGGAACUCAUGGUGUAGGGGUGAAAUCCGUUGAUAUCAUGGGGAACACCAAAAGCGAAAGCAGUACACUAGCGCAUAUUUGACACUGAAACACGAAAGCGUGGGUAGCGAAUGGGAUUAGAUACCCCAGUAGUCCACGCCCUAAACGAUGAUCUCUCGCUAUUCGGAGUAUCGACCCUCUGAGUGGCUUAGCUAACGCGUUAAGAGAUCCGCCUGGGAAGUACGGCCGCAAGGCUAAAACUCAAAGGAAUAGACGGGGACUUGCACAAGCAGUGGAUUAUGUGGUUUAAUUCGAUGGUAAACGAAGAACCUUACCAAGGUUAGAAAUCCUAGUGAAAGCUCGCAGAAACGCGAGGCCUCGCAAGACUCUAGGACAGGUGAUGCAUGGCCGUCGUCAGUUCGUGGUUUGAAUUGUUCCCUUAAGUGGGGUAACGAACGCAACCCUCGUUGUGUGUUACAAGUGUCACACGAUACUGCCCCCGCCAAAGAACAUAAUUAUCAAUUAUCAAUUACGAAUUACGAAUGAAAAUACAAAUAAAAAAUGUGUUUAAAUUCGUAAUUCGUAAUUCGUAAUUUUUAAUUGUUUUUUUCGGCGGGGGAGGAAGGAGAGGAUGACGCCAGGUCAGCAUGUCCCUUGAUACCUUGGGCUACACACAUAAUACAAUGGCCACUACAACGCGCAGCGACGAGGCGACUCUGAGCUAAUCGUCCAAAAGUGGCCCCAGUUCGGAUUGGAGUCUGCAACUCGACUCCAUGAAGUUGGAAUUGCUAGUAAUCACAGGUCAGCUAAACUGUGGUGAAUACGUUCUCAAGUCUUGUACUCACCGCCCGUCAAGUCAAGGGAGCCGGGAGUACCCGAAGUCUCUACAUAAGUAGGGCCUAAGGCAAGCUCGGUGACAGGGACUAAGUCGUAACAAGGCACGGCUAGCGGAAGCUGGUCGUGGA
rnacentral:rRNA from 1 species